rnacentral:lncRNA from 10 species
UGCUGCUGCUGCUGCUGUUGCUGCUGCUGCUGCUACUGCUGCUGCUGCUACUGCUGCUGCUUGGCCCUGGCUGGAGACAUCUCACUACACCCAGGAGCAGCCACUUCCCCAGCUCUCCUCCUCCUCCUUCGCCUCCUCCUCCUCCACUCCCCCCCUUUAUUACCCUUUGUGUCAUCCUCCACAGCUCCAGGGAAGGCACUCAAAAGUGGGGGGCAGGAAAGAUGUACAUUGAAGAUGUCAGUUUCUACAUGUGGGAAGUAGACAUUGAAGGCUUUAUGGUUUACAGACAAGAUCUUUAGAAGAUAAGCACUAAAG